rnacentral:rRNA from 1 species
UACGGGGGGGGCAAGCGUUGUUCGGAAUUACUGGGCGUAAAGGGUUCGUAGGUGGCUUGUUAAGUCAGACGUGAAAUCCCUCGGCUCAACCGGGGAACUGCGUCUGAGACUGAUGAGCUCGAGUGCAGGAGAGGAACGCGGAAUUCCAGGUGUAGCGGUGAAAUGCGUAGAUAUCUGGAGGAACACCGGUGGCGAAGGCGGCGUCUGGACUGCAACUGACACUGAGGAACGAAAGCCAGGGGAGCAAACGGG